GGAGUUAUCAGAAGUGAGAAUGCUGACAUGAGUAACGAUAAAGGGGGUGAAAAACCCCCUCGCCGGAAGACCAAGGUUUCCUGUCCCAUGCUAAUCAGGGCAGGGUUAGUCGGCCCCUAAGGCGAGGCCGAAAGGCGUAGUCGAUGGGAACCACGUUAAUAAUCGUGGGCCUGGUGGUAGUGACGGAUCUCGUGUGUUGUAUCUCCUUAUUGGAUUGGAGGUGCAGCGAAGAGGUUCCAGGAAAUAGCUCCACCGUAUAAACCGUACCCGAAACCGACACAGGUGGUCAGGUAGAGAAUACCAAGGCGCUUGAGAGAACUAUGCUGAAGGAACUCGGCAAAAUGCUCCCGUAAGUUCGCGAGAAGGGAGACCUCCACUUAGGCAACUAGGUGGGGGUGGCACAGACCAGGGGGUGGCGACUGUUUAUUAAAAACACAGGGCUCUGCGAAGUCGUAAGACGACGUAUAGGGUCUGACGCCUGCCCGGUGCCGGAAGGUUAAAAGGAGGGGUGAGAGCUCCGAAUUGAAGCCCCGGUAAACGGCGGCCGUAACGAUAACGGUCCUAAGGUAGCGAAAUUCCUUGUCGGGUA
rnacentral:rRNA from 1 species